rnacentral:rRNA from 1 species
AGGAUCCUACUGUCUCCCCCCUCUAAUCAGNGAAACUGAUCUCUCCGUGAAGAAGCGGGGAUAUACNUAUAAGACGAGAAGACCCCNUGGAGCUUUAAACCCGACAGCACCCGCUUAUUUUAAGCCCAAUUAUACGCCCGUACCUGUCUGCUCGGUUUUAGGUUGGGGGG